GGGGGGUGGAAACGAGGGUACAGUAAGACAGGGGGUUGGGGGGGUGGAAACGAGGGUACAGUAAGACAGGGGGUUGUGGUGGGGGGUGGAAACGAGGGUACAGUAAGACAUCAGCAUUUCAUUCAGUCCAUCAUCAUCAUCAUCAUCAUCAUCAUCAGUCCUCAUUAAAAUCAAAUUAAAAAGAUGAUCUUGCAGUUUGGUGCUAAAGCUCCUUUCUGUUAGCAAUGUUUCCCAAACUGGGUCCUGGGGCCCCCCCACAUUACACAGCUGAUUCAGUUGAUCAAAGCUUCAUGACCAGUAGGUUACUUGAAUCAGCUGUGUUGUGCUGGGGGCAGAAACUAAACAUCCACCCAAAGGGGGGCCCAAGACCAAGUAUGGGAAACACUGGUAAAGGGGGGACAGGACAUGGGAAACAUUGGUAAAGGGGGGGACAGGACAUGGGAAACACUGGUAAAGGGGGGGACAGGACAUGGGGACAGGACUUGGGAAACAUUGGUAAAGGCGGGGACAGGACAUGGGAAACAUUGGUAAAGGGGGGGACAGGACUUGGGAAACAUUGGUAAAGGCGGGGACAGGACUUGGGAAACAUUGGUAAAGGGGGGGACAGGACUUGGGAAACAUUGGUAAAGGGGGGGACAGGACUUGGGAAACAUUGGUAAAGGGGGGGACAGGACUUGGGAAACAUUGGUAAAGGCGGGGACAGGACAUGGGAAACAUUGGUAAAGGGGGGACAGG
rnacentral:lncRNA from 1 species